rnacentral:rRNA from 1 species
CUUCACUUUGGGAUAAGCCUUGGAAACGGGGUCUAAUACCGGGUAUGACACAUGGCCGCAUGGUCUGUGUGUGGAAAGUUUUUGUGGUGGAGGAUGGACUCGCGGCCUAUCAGCUUGAUGGUGGGGUAGUGGCCUACCAUGGCUUUGACGGGUAGCCGGCCUGAGAGGGUGACCGGCCACACUGGGACUGAGACACGGCCCAGACUCCUACGGGAGGCAGCAGUGGGGAAUAUUGCACAAUGGACGGAAGUCUGAUGCAGCGACGCCGCGUGGGGGAUGACGGCCUUCGGGUUGUAAACUCCUUUCAGCAGGGACGAAGCUUUUUGUGACGGUACCUGCAGAAGAAGCACCGGCUAACUACGUGCCAGCAGCCGCGGUAAUACGUAGGGUGCGAGCGUUGUCCGGAAUUAUUGGGCGUAAAGAGCUUGUAGGCGGUUUGUCGCGUCUGCCGUGAAAGCCCGGGGCUUAACCCUGGGUCUGCGGUGGGUACGGGCAGGCUAGAGUGUGGUAGGGGAGACUGGAAUUCCUGGUGUAGCGGUGAAAUGCGCAGAUAUCAGGAGGAACACCGAUGGCGAAGGCAGGUCUCUGGGCCAUAACUGACGCUGAGAAGCGAAAGCAUGGGGAGCGAACAGGAUUAGAUACCCUGGUAGUCCAUGCCGUAAACGUUGGGCGCUAGGUGUGGGACUCAUUCCACGAGUUCCGUGCCGCAGCUAACGCAUUAAGCGCCCCGCCUGGGGGAGUACGGCCGCAAGGCUAAAACUCAAAGGAAUUGACGGGGGCCCGCACAAGCGGCGGAGCAUGCGGAUUAAUUCGAUGCAACGCGAAGAACCUUACCAAGGCUUGACAUACACCGGAAUGUGCCAGAGAUGGUGCAGCCUUUGGGCUGGUGUACAGGUGGUGCAUGGUUGUCGUCAGCUCGUGUCGUGAGAUGUUGGGUUAAGUCCCGCAACGAGCGCAACCCUCGUUCCAUGUUGCCAGCACGUAAUGGUGGGGACUCAUGGGAGACUGCCGGGGUCAACUCGGAGGAAGGUGGGGAUGACGUCAAAUCAUCAUGCCCCUUAUGUCUUGGGCUUCACGCAUGCUACAAUGGCUGGUACAGAGGGUUGCGAUGCCGUGAGGUGGAGCGAAUCCCUUAAAACUGGUCUCAGUUCGGAUUGGGGUCUGCAACUCGACCCCAUGAAGUUGGAGUCGCUAGUAAUCGCAGAUCAGCAACGCUGCGGUGAAUACGUUCC